CCGCUGGAUGAUGAAGAAUUGAUCGCCUACAUCAUCAACGGCCUCGACUCGGACUAUGAUCCAGCUGUUGAAGCAAUUACGGCUACGGCAAGAAUUGCUCCCAUCUCUUUAUCUCAUGUUUACUCACAGCUCCUGAGCUUUGAAA
rfam:Oryza meridionalis cultivar OR44 (W2112) chromosome 3, whole genome shotgun sequence.